rnacentral:lncRNA from 1 species
CUUGAGUUAGGGUUGANAAUAAUUAUAUGUGUUGAAAAGGUUCAAGUUUGGGGUUGAAUGGGGAAAGUGAAAGGCAAAAGAAAAAGGAAAGCAUUGAGUUCAAAAUAUGAGAAAGAAAAAUGCAUGUGAAAGGAAAAGAAAAGAAGAAAAGAGAAAAAGCAUGUAAAGAAGAACUCAAUAUAAAAUGAAAAGGGGAAAAAGUUGGGAAUGAGUAAGAUUAGUUAAAAAAAGAGAGUGUACUUGAACUUUGAAUGAUGAUUUAAACUCUCUUAACUCAAGGAUUUUGUAUUCCAGAAAAACCAAUUUUCUUGAUAGCCCAACCACAAUACAAGCCUUGGAUAAAGUCCUUGUGAUGACAUUUGCAUGUGAAGAUGUUAAUUGUCUUAGAUGAAUGACAAUAUUGUUUUAUGUGACAUGUGAACAGUAGAGAGUACAGUGAC